GACGAACGCUGGCGGCGUGCCUAAUACAUGCAAGUCGAGCGGAACUGGGGGAGCUUGCUCCUUCCAGUUUAGCGGCGGACGGGUGGGUAACACGUGGGCAACCUGCCCUGCAGAUCGGGAUAACUCCGGGAAACCGGUGCUAAUACCGAAUAGUUUGGCGCCUCUCCUGAGGCGCUACGGAAAGACGGUUUCGGCUGUCACUGCAGGAUGGGCCCGCGGCGCAUUAGCUAGUUGGUGGGGUAACGGCCCACCAAGGCGACGAUGCGUAGCCGACCUGAGAGGGUGACCGGCCACACUGGGACUGAGACACGGCCCGGACUCCUACGGGAGGCAGCAGUAGGGAAUCUUCCGCAAUGGACGCAAGUCUGACGGAGCAACGCCGCGUGAGUGACGAAGGUUUUCGGAUCGUAAAACUCUGUUGUGAGGGAAGAACACGUACCAACUAACUAUUGGUACCUUGACGGUACCUCACCAGAAAGCCACGGCUAACUACGUGCCAGCCGCCGCCGUAA
rnacentral:rRNA from 1 species